UUCAGGACUAACAUUAAAGUAAAUAUAUAUGUAUGUGAGAAAUAACAGCAUUUAAUUUAAAUUAACUCUCACAAAUCCUAAAUUGUUUGUUAUUGACAUGACAAAUUGAGAAAGACCUUCACAAAAGAAAAUACAAAUAUAUAAACUUCAGUUUCUUCGACCAAUAUCUGCACUUUGUUUGUUCUUGAUCAUUUCUUAGUCUCCAUUCUUGUAAGCUUAUCUCAUGUUUCUUCCUUGUUUCUUCUUCUGUUCUUCCAUUGCUUGUUUCUUCUUCAUUUCCUUCUCUUUCUCUUCUCUCCUUCUCCUCUCUUCCGUUUUCUUUCUCUUCUUUUCCUUUUCUUCUCUUCUCUUCCUCUCUUCCACUUUCCUCCUCUCACAUUCUUCUUCUUUCUUCUUCUUCUUCUCUUCUUUGGCUUUCUCCUUCUCUUUCUGCUCUUGUUUCUUCACUUCUAUUCUGACCCUGAUACUUAGCUUGGGUUGGAAAAUUACCAAC
rnacentral:lncRNA from 1 species